AUCGCCUGGGAAUCUCCUAACAUCAUUUAACAAAUGACAAGUAACCAGGGCAAGGAACAUGAUUGCAUUCCCCUUUAACCAACCAGAGCCAUUGGGUAGCUGGAAUAUCACCUGGGAGAGAAAGAUAACCAGGAUGCACGAAACGAAACGUAAAAUACACUCCAGUGUGCUUGCCGGGACAAAUCCCCAGGAGAAGAAAAUGUAUAGUGCAGAGACUUGGAUGCCAUGGAAGGAGUUAUUAGCCAGCUGGGCAGAGGGAGUGACAUUUGGUUGAGGCAGGGUGUGGGCACAGCUCUCCAGGCAAUCUGGCUUCCGUCUUCCCUACUAUUUGGCAAACUCAUAUACCCUUCCUUCUUCUUCACUCCCCCUCAUAUCUGAAGUCGUUAUCUUAGGGCAAGAUGAUUUAGUGUACAUUUCGCAUAAUGUGGCUUAAGUAGCUUUCCAAGCAAGACAGACCCCCUGGAAAAGAGCUCCAGGUCAAGAAGCAGUUUCGUGUGUCCGCUCCGGCUCAGACCUGGUCUGACAGACCUCAACCACGUCUCGCUUCCUUGUGUCCCUAAAACCUUCCUUUGUACUUUGAGGUGAGCCAGAAUCAAAUUGCAACCUCUUUAGAUAGGGGAGAGUUGAGAACAUGAGACGCAGGCUCCAUUUUCCUCCCUGAGCCAAGGAGCUCUCAAGACCGCACAGAAGAAAAGCCUCCAGCCGCCUUCUCUGUUUACUGCAUCUAUUUAGGGGAAGGUCAGGGUUUCCUCACCCUGAUAAAGGAUGGCGAACACAGCGCUUGUUCCCAGGCGACUCUUGUGUUUUUCGCUUUCUUUGUUCUCCGAUGUCUGACCUGCUUUUGUCAGGCUAAAGUUCAGGAGCCAUCUGUAAGGCGUUCUUCAAGGUAACAAGGACAAAGAUGAGAGAGCCAUGUGCGCAAUCAGGCACACAGAUGAAUCCAGACUAUUUUGUAGCAUGACCCACCCCAUCCUAUGUCAGCCUUGUGAUUUGCCUUCCACUUUUGUCAGGACCAUGAGUCGGGGAUGCUAGGAGGACAGGGAGGUUAGCUGUGAUGAGGCUAGCGAGGCUAGCGUUUGAAGGCGGUGAAGGCAUGAUUACGUCUAUUCUGUUUCCUAUGCCGUUUGCAUUCCGGAGAUUAUUAUCACGAAAACGGAUUUGCGCUGCGCCAUUCCUGUCCUCUUUAUACUUUGUAUCAUGACAAGAAGGUACCAGGCACCGUCUGCAGUAACUGUUUGUAGUGUGAGUCUUCUUCACACAUGGUGGUGUCUGUCCAAAAACUAAAGGCAAUAGCCUCUAGGAUUAUAAAUGAUGCUGUGCUAUGUGGCUUGGGGCUUGAGAGUAUCAGGAUGGAAACUGACAAUGCCUUCCGUCUAUGUCCUACCCUACCUUCCACAACUCUCCUGCGAUGCUGUGACUUGUAUCUGCACAGACCCGCAUCAACUUCCUAUGCCCACUUUUGUGAACAGCCCAAAUGACACUCCAGGUGACAGUCAGACUGUAUCAGAGAAGAGGCAAGGCUGAGCCAUUUCCAAUUAUCAUCAAAGAAUUUCUCCACCAUUACUGUGCUGAGACUGGAGGGUGUUGUUACAGGUGAGAUCAAAAAUAGAACAUGGUAUAAUAAGAACCUAUGCUUCCUGCACUGCGUAAAAUCAGAAUAGCUAAUGACACAACCCUUUCAAGUUCUUCCUUUUGAAAGGUGGGUUUAGUUCUCUCGAAAGCUGCUGAGUUGACAGCUCAGGGUCCUAUGGAGGGAAAACUGCUAAGCUCUUUUUCCUUGCUUCUCCAAGCAUACCUUCAGCCUGCCCUGGAGGGCUGUCUCAAGAUGAGACAGGUUAGUUCUUCCUCCAAGGUCUUUUAGUCUGUGAGAGCAGGAAUAGGUGCAUUAUCCAAGCUGAUUAUGAGGAAUAUUUCAAGAUGGGGUUACAGCGUCGCAGCACAUUUCGAGGCUGAAAUUGACAGAACACUUCAUACAGGUACCUGCAAACCCACUCAGCAAGAGUCAGUUUUGAAACCAUGUGUGUCUUCUUAUAAGCAGACUCAUCAGCUCUGUACGUGAGUUUUGCAGUGCACAGUGCAUGAGAGAUGUUCUAAGAGCUUGGCUUUCAGGGCAAUAUAAAGUUAAGCACUCACUUCCUAACCAGCACUUGAUUAUGAAGUCCCAGUCAUUGUUAACGCUGUUGCUGAUGUACCUGUCUUUCAUGAGCUCAGUGGAGCUGAGAGCAAUGUGGCUGAGAGGGAGGAACUACUGACAUCAAUCAUAGGUAGAAAAUAUGGAGGCAUCCAGGCUUUCAGGACAUAACUUAGCUGAUACUGGGAUACUUUGUCCUACAGAUCUAUUAAAAUAUGUUCAAGGGUUCUGAAAGUCUAUAUGAUUUGGUCGUGAGCUUUUAAACUUACUCUUUUUUUUUUAAGGGGUUGUUGCUCCUAGCUAUUUUUUCUAGUUUUCCAGGUGUUUUUAAGCAUCUCUACCUCGGUGAGUGUUGAAGAAUGCUAGCCAAUGAUCUAAAUGGCCAUUAUCUCCAUCAGAACAGCUAUGACAACCUUCAAACUAUCUACCCAGGGCUUGGGCUUUAAGAGAACCUGCUGCUCUUGUAUAAGACUAAAUGUUGCUUCUAUUUCCUCAGAUAAAGUGAUGAGAUGAGAGCCAUACCAAAGCAGGGCUGAGCCCAGAGUAUUUCUUUCUUUGUUCUAACUAGGUCUAGGCCUGGAAGCUUCUAGCUUCCAUACAAUCUAAUCUUCCAAGCUGAUUGAUUCAAUCCAGCUUCUCUCAGCUUCUGCCUGAAUUGCUCUGCUUGACCUCAUACUAACUUUGGCAAUAUGUCCUAAUCAUAUGACUCCUUCUCAUUAUCUGGCUUGUUCUGUCUUCACCUGUGUUGUUUAGUUUGUUCUUUCUGAAACAUGCCUUUGUAAGAGUGUCCUGGUAAAAUUGCCAUCCCACAUACCACACAUACCACAUAGAGCAUUCUCUCUCUCUCUCUCUCUCUCUCUCUCUCUCUCUCUCUCUCUCUCGUAGCCUGUCUUCCUCUGCUAUUCUCAUGUGAGUUGAGCAUAUUGUGUCUCUGACUCAUUCUGUCAAAUGUUUCUCUGCUUUGUUGCUUUGUCUGUCCCUCAAUUAGACAUCACUUUCAACCAUGGUUGUUUCCUUCUAUGAACUAACCACAGAUUCAUUGUUAGGGAUUAAAGGUAUAUACUAAGGGUAUGUCUGUAUUCCAGCCAGAUAAUACUGUAAUCCAGGGCGUAUCUGGACAGAUCAUAUCUUUGGAUGUGAUUCCUUGCCAAGAGCAGCCAUGUUUCUGGAUUAGAAUUCCUCUACCUAUGACCCAUGUUCAGUUCCCAGCACUUACACAGUGCCUCAUAACCAUACACAACUCUGUUUCCAGGGGACUAGAUAUACAUGUACUGUGUCCAUAAAUAUAGGAAUGCAAAUAUACUUAAACU
ensembl:lincRNA Gm29113 predicted gene 29113